rnacentral:rRNA from 1 species
UGGGGAAUUUUGGACAAUGGGCGAAAGCCUGAUCCAGCAAUGCCGCGUGUGUGAAGAAGGCCUUCGGGUUGUAAAGCACUUUUGUCCGGAAAGAAAUCCUUGGCUCUAAUACAGUCGGGGGAUGACGGUACCGGAAGAAUAAGCACCGGCUAACUACGUGCCAGCAGCCGCGGUAAUACGUAGGGUGCAAGCGUUAAUCGGAAUUACUGGGCGUAAAGCGUGCGCAGGCGGUUUGCUAAGACCGAUGUGAAAUCCCCGGGCUCAACCUGGGAACUGCAUUGGUGACUGGCAGGCUAGAGUAUGGCAGAGGGGGGUAGAAUUCCACGUGUAGCAGUGAAAUGCGUAGAGAUGUGGAGGAAUACCGAUGGCGAAGGCAGCCCCUGGGCCAAUACUGACGCUCAUGCACGAAAGCGUGGGGAGCAAACAGGAUUAGAUACCCUGGUAGUCCACGCCCUAAAACGAUGUCAACUAGUUGUUGGGGAUUCAUUUCCUUAGUAACGUAGCUAACGCGUGAAGUUGACCGCCUGGGGAGUACGGUCGCAAGAUUAAAACUUAAAGGAAUUGACGGGGUCAUAGCUGUUUCCU